CGGAGCGUGUGGUUUAAUUCGUUGCUACACGAGAUCCUUACCUGGGUUUGACCAUAUAGGUUGUAGGGAACUAGAAAAGGGACCCGACCCGUUCGGGGAGCCUAUACAGGUGUUGCAUGGCUGUCGUCAGCUCGUGUCGUGAGAUGUUCGGUUAAGUCCGCUAACGAGCGCCAACCUCGUCGUAUGUUAUAUGUGUCAUACGAGACUGCCGGUAAAAAGCCGGAGGAAGGUGAGGAUGAUGUCAAGUCAGCAUGGCCCUUACAUCCUGGGCUACACACACGCUACAAUGGGUGAUACAAUAGGUUGCGAUAGAGCGAUCUGGAGCCAAUCCCAAAAAUCAUCCUCAGUACGGAUUGCAGGCUGCAACUGCCUGCAUGAAGUUGGAGUUGCUAGUAAACGCAGGUCAGCACACUGCGUUGAAUACGUUCUCGGGCCUU
rnacentral:rRNA from 1 species